rnacentral:rRNA from 1 species
GAUGAACGCUGGCGGCGUGCCUAAUACAUGCAAGUCGAGCGAACAGAUGAGGAGCUUGCUCCUCUGACUUUAGCGGCGGACGGGUGCUUAACACGUGGUCAACCUACCUAUAAGACUGGGAUAACUUCGCGAAACCGGAGCUAAUACCGGAUAAUAUAUUGCACCGCAUUGUUCAAUAGUGAAAGACGGUUUUGCUUUCACUAAUAGAUGGAUCCGCCCCGCAUUAGCUAGUUGGUAAGGUAACGGGUUACCAAAGCAACGAUGCGUAGCCGCCCUAAAAGGGUGGACGGCCAGACUGGAACUGAGACACGGUCCAGACUCCGACGGGAGGCAGCAGUAGGGAAUCUUCCGCAAGGGGCGAAAGCCUGACGGAGCAACGCCGCGGGAGUGCUGAACGUCUUCGGAUCGUAAAACUCUGUUAGUAGGGGAGAACAAAUGUGUAAGUAACUAUGCACGUCUUGACAGUACCGAAUCAGAAAGCCACGGCUAACUACGUG